UAUUUUAUUAUCUAUAUAAUAUUGUCAGUUUAUUUUAUCAACACAACACUUUUAUCAAGUUACUACCGUUUAAACACCUGCAGAGGUUUUAAACGCACCACAGGCUUAGCACCAGGGUCAGCUCCAUGGAUGUGCAGCAUUUGCAGUCACGCGAGACCCACACUGAGAGGGACGCCAUGUUUGAUGCUCUGCUAUCGCCAUCUUGAAAUUCUUAGUAACCUUGAACAAGGGGACUUGCAUUUUUAUUUUGUACUGGGCUUCCCUAAUUAGGUAGCCAGGCCUUCUUAGCACUGAGGGCUUCCUGGAUUCACCCCAUCUGAAGCAAGAUAUAAUUUGAAACUCAACUGGCAUAUCAGAAGAAACCAAGAGUCCAAGGUUAGUCUAGAAAGAUCUGGAUCUGUCAAUACUCAUAGAUGGAUUGUUACCAGAUGGCAAAAGUUCACCAGAAGAAAAUGUAAGCUACUCCCAGGAUAAAGGCAGUUGAGUGUGGUGGCAAGGUAAUGUGCUAAAUCAAAGUGGUAAUCUAAUUCUGAAGAAGUUAUCAACAGUGAACACAGGAAGAUGAUGCCAAAGAGUUAAGUAUACAGACAGAUUCCUCACCAGCUUUGAGGACUAUCUCUAGUACAUGUUGAGUGUGACAAUUGAUAUUCUUCGGUACAGAAGAAGCCGUUGCCAUCUGUCGUGUGACUGCUCUGAGGAUAAUGAGAACCCUCGGACAUGUGGGUUGGAAAGAAAUGACUUCAUUCCAAGGAGGAAUCCUUGCCAAGAUUCUGCAGUGAUCUGGUCAAUGUAGAUAAUGUGGUGCAUUAGAGCAGAAG
rnacentral:lncRNA from 1 species